UUCGAGUGGCGGACGGGUGAGUAACGCGUGGGUAACCUGCCUUACACAGGGGGAUAACACCUGGAAACAGGUGCUAAUACCGCAUAAGCGCACAGGGCCGCAUGGCCCGGUGUGAAAAACUCCGGUGGUGUAAGAUGGACCCGCGUCUGAUUAGCUUGUUGCGGGGUAGGGGCCCACCAAGGCGACGAUCAGUAGCCGGCCUGAGAGGGUGGACGGCCACAUUGGGACUGAGACACGGCCCAAACUCCUACGGAAGGCAGCAG
rnacentral:rRNA from 1 species